rnacentral:rRNA from 1 species
GGCGCGGGCCGUGUGGCCGCCUUCGGGCGCGCCGUGCGACCGUGCCAUCCUCGUGGGGAAGGCGUCGGCAUUCACUUGUCGGCGUUCGGACCCACGUCCUUUACUGUGAAAAAAUUAGAGUGUUUAAAGCAGGCUUUAAGCUUGAAUACAUUAGCAUGGAAUAAUGAGAUAGGACUUCGGUGCUAUUUUGUUGGUUGCGUACCGAGGUA